ensembl:lncRNA
CUCUACAUUCAUUUUGCUUAAAUGAAUUUGUGCAUUGCUUCCAAAUAAUUUAAAAAAAAAAAAAAGAAGAAGAAGAAGAAGAGGAGCAGGGAGAUUGUAGGUUUCAUGUAUGAGUGCUUGAUUGCAAAAGAAGAUCUUGUAAUGUUCUUUAUUUCAGUAAUAUACACCUGUCAGUAUAAAACUGAGUUUGUGGUACCUCAGUUUUUCCAUGGAAACUACAACAGAUACAAAGAGAACUGUAACACUGUUUGAUAGAGCAAAUUCUCAGCUACAGAACACUUUUCAGCAUAGUCACUGCCACUAGCUGUGUAUUUUCACCAGUAAUAAAUAAAACCCUGCAAGCUCCAUUCCUAAAGAUAUGCACCAGUGAAGAUGACCCACUGCUUCAGAAUUGCUAUGAUGGCGUUGUUGCUAGGAAAAUGUUACUCACACACUCCACUUUUCAUUGGCUCAAAUAGACGGAAGUCGGAAUGUGCCAAAUCUGGCCUACAUGAUGGAUGUGGUAGGACAGUCCAACCAAGAUUAGCAGUGUUCUCCAUGGUUUUCAAACUGCCAUGAGCCCUGGGUGUUAACAUGUUGCAAGAGAAAAGUUGUAGUCUUCUUUAGCCUGACUCUGGAAUUUCAAGCCUUCAGCUUCAUCAGUGUCACAGGAUAGCAGACAGAGCUAAUGGUUUGUCUGGGUUCCAGGAAAUCCAGAAGUAUUGCUUCUUUCUUGUCUAUCUCAAAAGACAGUGCACAUCACUUUAUCUCUCUCAGCUGAGAACUGACUCUUGAAUGUUUUCUUCAAUGAGGAAUUCACGUGUUGCUACUCAUGGAUUUCCAUUUUGACUCCAGCUCAUACUGUUGACACCAAUUCUCGUCACUGGUAAUAAAGCCAUCGAGGAAACUGUCACCUUCAGUCUCAUAUUGGUUCAGUAGGUCCUGACAAACUUGCAUAUGGUGUUAUUUCUUUUCCUGUGUGAGCAUUUGUAGGACCUACCUGACACAAACUUUGUGAUAUUCCAGAGUUACCACCAUUGUUUCCAAUCUGUUGAAGCCAGUUUUUAACUCCACACACAGUUCCCCAGUAGUAAUACGCCGACUUGUGCCAAUUAGCUGAAUGAGAUGCUCUUCACUUAGUGAUGUGACAGUUGUGUAUGGACAGCCACAGUGUUGCUUGUUUUUCACAUUGCUGUGGCUACUGCUGAAUCAUAUCACCCACUGCCUCACUGUGCUCACAUCCAUGGGUGCAUUUUUUUCCACAUGGAGGAAUUCAAUUCCAUGCCUUUUCUUCAUACGUAUUUCUAUAUAAGACAGCAUUCUGUCAGACUGCCCCUCUGCUGCACGCCGUCACACGGCAGCAACAUGUAACGCAACAUCGGUGGUGAGGUUCGUCCUCUGCUGCCAUACAAAUGCCCUCUGAGUGGAAAAAAUGGCACCCACUAACAUUCAUUGAUACUUGCUAAACAUUUAUGGAGACUAAACAGCGGGUGUGAGCACAGUGAGGUGGUGGGUGGUGCAUUUCAGCAGUGGUGACAGCAUCAGUGGGUCACCUCCACUGGUGCAGACUUUUAUGAGUACAGCAUGCAGGCUCUUGUUUACUGCUGGCAAAAAUGCAUAGCUAGUGGUGGUGGCUAUGCUGAAAAAUAGCAUUUUGUAGCUGAGACUUUGCUCUAUCAAAUAGUGUUCUGGUGCUCUUUGCAUCUGCUGUAGUUUCCAUGGAAAUAAAUAGGAAGCAUUAUUUCUGUGGUGACCUAUGUAUAUAACCGUUGUAAAAGUCCAUGUUCUAGGAGCUCAAACUCUUGCUCUUGCUCACAAAGAAUCUUUCUCAACAAGGCAAACUAGCUUUCACAUUUGGCCUCAUUGGUGGCAGUUCUUUUAAAAAUAUAUAUAUUCAAUGUUUUCCCCUUAUUUUGCAACAGGAGUGUUUUCUUAUAGUUCAAGUCAUUCUGCGAGGACUCAUUUAUUUGAUAGGUUUUAUUUCUAGUGUCAUAUGUUGCUCAGAAGCAGUCUGCUCCAUCCACAUUCAUUUCUGCAUGAGCAGCCCUGUGCACUGUAAGUCACUAUCAAACAAAUUCUGCUGAUUCCCUUCAUGCCCUUUCAACAAUUACAAUUAUCUUUGCCAUCUUUCCCCUCUUCUUGUUGAACUAAAAGCUAUACAAAUGUAGAAAUGCCAAGUUUAACUACACCACUUUCAUGUGUUUUAUAUUAAAAACUAAACAGGGGCUUUUUGGUCAAAUCAGCUUAUGUCUUCCUGUCUAACUUAACUGCUAUAAAUAUUAAGUUCUUCAGAAUCAACCACACAGAGAAAUAAUAUUAUCUUCCAUUGUCAUUAUUUUUCCUAUUAUCCAUAACUUGCAGACAAAGUGCUCUUCAUACUUUUUCCACUUAUCCUUGGUGCUCCCAAGGGGCUUCAGCACUAAGUUGGAAAUGAGCUGUUCUUUUUUCCCCACUUCCUAUUUUUCUUGGUUGGGUUGAUUGCUGGCACUGCUUGCUGGUCUGCCCUUACAAAGGACAGUUUUGCCCAGGGUCUAACUUCUGUCUGGCCAGCAUUGCAUAAUGUUAACUGUUGCACAAGGCAACAACUGGCACAUGCUGAGAUUUUUUAGAUGAACUCUUAUCCACAAAAAUGGUACUGGUGCCUGAAAGAUAUCAUUAAGUCUGUGCAAUAGCUCUGAGGAUCUGAGUCUAAUUUAACCAUGCUAUUUAAUUUAAUUACAGAUUUGUUGCAAGAAGUUGACUGCUGCUGUUAUGGUAGCUUAGGAAAGGAAGAAGUCAAGAAGCGUUCAACUAAGAGGCUCUCUUGAGAGGCAGGAAGGAGACUGCUCUGUGAGUGUGACUGAAUAAACCAUUGGUUUAGGGCAUCACAGGCAUUUUAAAAUUCAUCAGUGAGCUGAAUUUACUUUUCACAAGUCUGAAGUUCAGAAUGUGGCUGAGAGAAGGGGAAAAUGUGACAGAUGUUCAUCCUCAAAGUGUUACAGACCAAAGGAAGAACACAUAGGAAUGUGUACUGAAAGCCAGCAGCACUCAUCUGCUCUGUGCCAUCAAACACAGCAAUUCUAAGUGAAUUUCACUUGUAAACAUGUUUACAUUACUGUUUCUGUGUUAUCUUUGAAGUUCUUCCCAUGGUAGCUCUCACUCCUUUAUGUAUGUAUGCCAUAUGUGCCCCUGAGUGUGAGGGGAGAUGAGGAAAGGAGAGAAAUUUCACUCUAUCACAUGACAGAUCCCUGGUGCAGAGCUGCAAUGUAUUUUGCUUGGCUCCUCUACAGACCAAGUUUGUUGUCCAUCGGGGCUUUGUGUUUCCAAGGGCAGAGGAGUUACAAGAAAACUCAUGUCCAUGGCACACACAGUAAUAUCUUGUGCUGCUUGCUUAUAGUCUCUCCAGAUUUUGCCUCUUUCUCAAGUAUAUCCGUCUAUGUUUUUAAAAGCCAAGACAGUCCUUGAUGCACUUUUGAGAAGCUGCAAUUACAUGUUUCCUAUCUGAAGAACUCUUCAGUGCACUUGGGAACAGAACAUACAAGUUCUGGUUCCUCUUUGUUGUGGCCCCAAGUCCUCGUGUGCCAGGACAGUAUUGAAGACAGUCUGUUCUCCAGCUAAGGCUAGCUUUAAAAAUCAGAAACAUAUCAAACAGCCAUUUCUUUGCACACCUCAUCCCAGUACCUGCCAAGAUGUCAUAGAGACACUGACAUGCACAUAAAUGAUCUAGAAAGAGCUCUUUCUGUAAGCAACUGUUUGGAUGCUAACUGUUAAAUUCCUGUUUCAGUUCAGUGUUUGUUGGACAAUUUCAUGUCUAGAUGCCGAUCUUAAAAUGAAACAAUAUAGUGUUUUAUGGAGACAUGCAAAAAUUUGAUGUAUUUGAUAAUUAAACUGCAUUUUAUCCAACUUUGUGUGCUGUUCUCUGCUGUGUUCACUGACAUAGAUGAGUUGUAUCUUCUUGACUAAGGUAAUGCAUUUUCAGUGUUGCUUUGUAUACUGCAUG